AUUGAACGCUGGCGGCAGGCCUAACACAUGCAAGUCGAACGAGUGGCGGACGGGUGAGUAAUGCCUGUGAAACUGCCUGAUGGAGGGGGAUAACUACCGGAAACGGUAGCUAAUACCGCACACCAUAAGCUGUGCCGAGAUGGGAUGUGCUAGUGGGUGGGGUGACGGCUCACCAAGAGGACGAUCCCUACCUGGUCUGAGAGGAUGACCAGCCACACUGGAACUGAGACACGGUCCAAACUCCUACGUGAAGCAGCAAUGGGGAAUAUUGCACAAUGGGCGCAAGCCUGAUGCAGCCAUGCCGCGGGUAUGAAGAAGGCCUUCAGGUUGUAAAGUACUUUCAGCUGGGAGGCGUUACCCGCAGAAGAAGCACCGGCUAACUCCGUGCCAGCAGCCGCGGUAAUAC
rnacentral:rRNA from 1 species